rnacentral:rRNA from 1 species
UACGAAGGGGGCGAGCGUUGUUCGGAUUUACUGGGCGUAAAGGGCGCGUAGGCGGCCGAUCAAGUCAGGCGUGAAAGCCCCGGGCUCAACCUGGGAAUGGCGCUUGGGACUGGUUGGCUUGAGUUCGGGAGAGGAGAGUGGAAUUCCCAGUGUAGAGGUGAAAUUCGUAGAUAUCAGGAGGAACACCGGUGGCGAAGGCGGGUCUCUGGGCCGAUAUUGACGCUGAGGAGCGAAAGCGUGGGGAGCGAACAGG